rnacentral:rRNA from 1 species
UACGUAGGGUGCAAGCGUUGUCCGGAAUUAUUGGGCGAAAGAGCUCGUAGGCGGUUUGUCGCGUCUGCUGUGAAAACUCGGGGCUUAACUCCGGGCCUGCAGUGGGUACGGGCAGACUAGAGUGCGGUAGGGGGAGACUGGAAUUCCUGGUGUAGCGGUGAAAUGCGCAGAUAUCAGGAGGAACACCGGUGGCGAAGGCGGGUCUCUGGGCCGUAACUGACGCUGAGGAGCGAAAGCGUGGGGAGCAAACAGG